UUUGGCAAUUGGCCGUCCCCCGCCCCGCCCACGUGAACCCCGUCGGUGACUCUUGCAAGCCGGAUGCCCUCUGUGGAUGAAAGAUGUAUCAUGGAAUGAACCCGAGCAGUGGAGAUGGAUUUCUAGAGCAGCAGCAGCCUCAGUGCCCCCAGAGACUCUUGGCCGUGAUCCUGUGGUUUCAGCUGGCGCUGUGCUUCGGCCCUGCACAGCUCACGGGCGGGUUCGAUGACCUUCAGGUGUGUGCUGACCCAGGCGUCCCUGAGAAUGGCUUCAGGACGCCCAGCGGAGGGGUUUUCUUUGAAAGCUCUGUCACCCGAUUUCACUGCCAAGAUGGAUUCAAGCUGAAGGGCUCUACAAAGAGACUGUGUAUGAAACAUCUGAACGGAACCCUGGGCUGGAUCCCAAGUGAUAAACCCAUCUGUGUGCAGGAAGAUUGCCGCAUCCCGCAAAUUGAAGAUGCCGAGAUUCAUAACAAGACGUACAGACAUGGAGAUAAAUUAAUCAUCACUUGUCAUGAAGGAUUCAAGAUCCGGUACCCUGACCUGUACAACAUGGCUGCAUUAUGUCGUGCUGACGGAACGUGGGACCAUCUGCCCAUCUGUCAAGGCUGCCUGAGACCGCUCGCCUCUUCUAAUGGCUAUGUGAACAUCUCCGAGUUCCAGACCUCCUUCCCAGUGGGAACUGUGAUCUCCUACCACUGCUUUCCUGGAUUCAAACUCGAGGGGUCGGAGUAUCUUGAGUGCUUACACAACCUUAUCUGGUCGUCCAGCCCACCCCGGUGCCUUGCUCUGGAAGUCUGUCCGCUACCUCCCAUGGUGAGUCACGGCGAUUUCAUCUGCCACCCGCGGCCAUGUGAGCGCUACAACCACGGAACCGUGGUGGAGUUUUACUGCGACCCCGGCUACAGCCUCACCAGUGAUUACAAGUACAUCACCUGCCAGUACGGGGAGUGGUUUCCUUCCUAUCAAGUCUACUGCAUCAAGUCAGAGCAAACGCGGCCCAGCACCCAUGAGACCCUCCUGACCACGUGGAAGAUCGUGGCGCUCACGGCGACCAGCGUGCUGCUAGUGUUGCUGUUCGUCGUCCUGGCCAGGAUGUUCCAGACCAAGUUCAAGGCCCACUUUCCACCCAGGGGGCCUCCCAGGAGUUCCAGCAGCGACCCCGACUUCGUGGUGGUAGACGGCGUGCCCGUCAUGCUCCCGUCCUAUGACGAGGCUGUGAGUGGCGGCCUGAGUGCCUUAGGCCCAGGGUACCUGUCCUCCGUGGGCCAGGGCUGCCCCUUACCCGUGGACGACCAGAGCCCCCCAGCAUACCCCGGCUCAGGGGACACGGACACGGGCCCGGGGGAGUCAGGAACCCGUGACAGCGUCUCAGGCUCUUCGGAGCUGCUCCAGAGUUUGUAUUCACCUCCCACGUGCCAAGGGGGCACCCGCCCCGCUUCCGACAGCCCUGACACAGCUCCCAGCACGGCGGGGGAGGUGGCAUCCACCAGCCCAGGCAUUGACAUUGCAGAUGAGAUCCCUCUAAUGGAAGAAGACCCGUAACUGGAAAAAUUCCAGAUGAUUCUGCUGCCCCUUUGGGGAUGGGCACCUUGUACUUUGGAGUGAGGCCUCUGGAGGACAGAGCUUGGGGGGAUGGAGGAAGUUUUCUAAUUUAUCAACAUGGGGACAGUGACUCACAUCGUACGUCUCGGACUCAACAGUGAGGCUGACGCGAAGGGCAGUGGCAGUGCUUUUAAAUGAAACUUGAGGAUUUGCCAAGACCAGUGAGGAACAAAAAGCAUGGGGGGAGACCCUGUGUGGUCCUGGAUGAAGGUGUUAAGUGCAUCUUGUGCUGCGGAGCAUGGGACAGACAGUUCCACACAUAUCCCACCAAAUCCCACGUCCCGCUGACUUAUGUUAUAUGAGUACUACCCGCCGCCUCUGAAAGCAUGUCACAUUAUGUUAAUCGCUUCUAAAAUCUGCUUCAAACUGUCUCUGGACGCCAAAUUAGGAUGGAUCCGUCUCUGCAGGAAGUCUGUGUUGAGCUGCUGGAAGAGCAGCAGAGCGCCCCCUGCAGGCUCCCCCAGGAAGAUUCUGGUGUGUCCUGUAGACAAGCGGGAUGUGGCGGUUCCACUGAGAAAGGAAAGGAAAGACUCAGACAGACUCGGCUUUCUGGAAAUUUCUUCAAAAAGUAGAGCUCCUGUCCUCCGUGCUGUCCUUUGGUGAAAUAUCAUCAGUAUUUGUAUUCAUGGUCUAGCACACGGAUCCAUGGCAUUGGCUAAAUCUUGUGACUUUACACAUGGUCAGAGUGUGUUCAAAUAGCAUCUCAUGGUGGAGAAGUAACCAAGUGAGCUUCUGUGGCAGGAAAACAUCCUCAUGCUAUCCCAAGCAUGUCAUGCUUCUGGCUCUUUUCCUGUAAACGUCCUGGAGGCCCUCUGCACAUAAACAGAAUCAUUCUCACCUUGCGCCAGGAAUUAGUAGGUAUGAGGACACACCGGGCUGUAUUGUGAAUCGCAUGGAGAGAGCCAUCCCCGCCUAAAGUGCUUUCUGCUUUGGGCGGGGGAGGCAUCUCCAGGGCAGCGGUCAGGAGCGUGCUGAGAACCGGGGUGUUGCAAGGCGUCAGCCUGAGGUGUUUACGCAAGUGCCUGUUAGCAAGAACUGCAGGGCAGCGGUUUUCCGGCUGACCGGCUCCCCGUCAUACACUCGCCAGGCAGAGGUCACAGGAUGUCUUCACACUUCACUUGCAUGUCGCUUGUUUUAAUUGCAAGGUUGUGAUUGGCUGGUGUGGGCUCUUUAGAGCCUUUUCCACUUAAUGACACCCAUCCCAGCAGCUGGCACGUGGACAGGACUGCCUCCUAUUCCUGCAGAAGUGUUUUGCCCCCGGGCACACAGCAGACCUGGACAGUUGGGAGUGACCUGCAGAGGCUCACAGGGCACAGCCUGCCGGGCCUGGAGGCGUCUCCUGCUCCUUUGCUCCCUCCCUCCACACCUGGCUAUGCUAGGCAGCCCUCCUCCCAGGACGUCUGGGUCCCAAGGCAACCCCUGCAGAGUGGUGUGGCAUCCCGGGAGAGCACCGGCUUUGGAAGGGACCAUCCCCUGCUUCAAAAUCUGCCUCUGCCACUAACUGGCUGUGCACUUGGACGAGUUCUUGCCCCCCACCCCAGACCACCUCAAUUUCUUCAUGCAGAAACUAGAGAUGGUUUACCUCUGCCUUCCCCGCUGGGCUGUAGUGAGGAUGACAGCUAGUGUAAGUCACAGCGCACAGUAAGCAUCUGACAAAUGGCCGCUGCUCUCCCCUCGUUCCCCACGGUGAAAGAGGGUGUCACGUGAGUGAUUUACUCAGUGCAGCUCUAGGCACCGUGGACCUGCCUUGGUCCCCACCACCCUCCAAAGUGUUUGUAGACAAAGCUUGUUCGGGCUGCCCCAAGCAGGCGGGCUGAGAUGUGCCAUCCUGCUCCCCCAGACCCUCUUGCCAGGAGCACCUCCCUGGCUUCUACAAGCCAAGCUUUCCAUGCAGAAGGAAAUUGUCAAUCCGUUGGGCAUUUACCUUCCCUCCCAGUAUAGCCGUCUCUUGAGUGCUGAAGAAAGUUCUGCUCAGGGAGGGCAGGACAACCUCAGAAAUUCCUCCAAGGACUCUGAAGGACUCAGAUCACCUCCACAGGCAGCCCUGCAGAUUAACACUAACCUGCUCCCCUAAUUUUAUUGUCAAGUUUGGAUUUAAAGCAUAA